rfam:Picea glauca, whole genome shotgun sequence.
GCUGGAAUAGCUCAGUUGGUUAGAGCAUGUGGUUGUUAACUACAAGGUCACAGGUUCAAGCCCUCCUUCUAGCG